CCUCCUUUGUUCCUCCUUUUUUCCUCUUUCCCCCUUUUUUCCCCCCUUAUUCAGCGACUCCGCGUGAGUGAAGAAGUAUCUCGGUACGUAAAGCUCUAUCAGCAGGGAAGAUAAUGACGGUACCUGACCAAGAAGCCCCGGCUAACUACGUGCCAGCAGCCGCGGUAAUACGUAGGGGGCAAGCGUUAUCCGGAUUUACUGGGUGUAAAGGGAGCGUAGACGGCAGCACAAGUCUGGAGUGAAAUCCCGGGGCUUAACCCCGGAACUGCUUUGGAAACUGUGCGGCUGGAGUGCAGGAGGGGUAAGCGGAAUGCCUAGUGUAGCGGUGAAAUGCGUAGAUAUUAGGAGGAACACCGGUGGCGAAGGCGGCUUACUGGACUGUAACUGACGUUGAGGCUCGAAAGCGUGGGGAGCAAACAGGAUUAGAUACCCUAGUAGUC
rnacentral:rRNA from 1 species